AAGACAGUGAUGUGGAGCAAAUCCCUAAAAACGGUCUCAGUUCGGAUUGUAGGCUGCAACUCGCCUACAUGAAGUCGGAAUUGCUAGUAAUCGCGGAUCAGCAUGCCGCGGUGAAUACGUUCCCGGGCCUUGUACACACCGCCCGUCACACCAUGGAAGUUGGUAACACCCGAAGCCUGUAGCCUAACCGCAAGGAGGGCGCAGUCGAAGGUGGGAUUGAUGACUGGGGUGAAGUCGUAACAAGGUACC
rnacentral:rRNA from 1 species